rnacentral:rRNA from 1 species
UACAGGGGGUGCUAGCGUUGUUCGGAAUUACUGGGCGUAAAGGGCGCGUAGGCGGCCUUGUAAGUCAGAUGUGAAAUCCCCGGGCUUAACUCGGGACGUGCAUUUGAAACUGCGAGGCUAGAGUGCAGUAGAGGAUGGUAGAAUUCCCAGUGUAGAGGUGAAAUUCGUAGAUAUUGGGAGGAAUACCGGUGGCGAAGGCGGCCAUCUGGGCUGCAACUGACGCUGAGGCGCAAAAGCGUGGGGAUCAAACAGG